UGUUCGGAAUUACUGGGCGUAAAGAGUACGUAGGCGGUUUUUAAGUCAGAGGUGAAAUCCCGGAGCUCAACUCCGGAACUGCCUUUGAAACUGGAAAGCUAGAAUCAUGGAGAGGUUAGUGGAAUUCCGAGUGUAGAGGUGAAAUUCGUAGAUAUUCGGAAGAACACCAGUGGCGAAGGCGACUGACUGGACAUGUAUUGACGCUGAGGUACGAAAGCGUGGGGAGCAAACAGGAUUAGAUACCCUGGUAGUCCACGCCGUAAACGAUGAUAACUAGUUGUUCGGGCACAACGUGCUUGAGUGACGCAGCUAACGCAUUAAGUUAUCCGCCUGGGGAGUACCGUCGCAAGAUUAAAACUCCAAGGAAUUGACGGGGGCCUGCACCAGCCGUGGAACCUGUUGUUUAAUUCCAAACCACGCCGCGAACCUAACCAACGUUUGACAUCCUGGUCGCGGAUCCAGAGAUGAUUCCUCCAGUCUCGGCUGAACAAGUGACAGGUGCUGUUGGCUGUCGUCACUCGUGUCGUGAGA
rnacentral:rRNA from 1 species